UCUUCAGUCUUUUCAGGUCCUCUGAGUUUAUUACCAAGAUCAACCUUGCACAGAGGUGAAAGUCUCAAAAUGGAGCCCCCCAGACAUGAAUACAACUGACUCCAUGAUGGAAGUGCCAUUCAGGCUGCAAAGCUCAGCACACAGACAGCACCACCUGCCAAAACUGAAACAAAGUCCUGAUCCAUCAAAUCCCACAGUUUUGGGAAAGCCUAUAAAUGUAGUCACCUUGCUUUUGGGCUUCUAGGCAUCUGCCUGCAAGAAAGGAUGUCAGAACUGCAUAUCUAUUUCUGGAAAUAGCAUCUGUGCACUCUCCAGAGGACUCACACCCUGUGUCGCAACCUGUGUCCUAUGCUCUGCUCUCCAGUUCUAGCGACAGCAACUGAACAAUGUCUGUCAAGGUAGCAUAUACGACUUGCAAUAACCCAGUCUCACGGACUGAAUGAAACCAUUGGCAACUUUCUGGCUUGCUGCUUUUUUCCCCCCAAGCCAGAGCUGAAGCUGGUAAAGAAGCCAGGAAUUCCCAAGCUUUCCCAGGCAAGUGUCGAGAAACACUGGGACUCCUUCUUCUCCAUCUCUGUCCAUCUGCAGGCCAAGUGUGCACCAGUUACAGGCAGAGUCUGAAUCGAGCUUUGUGCAAGUCUCUGGAAAGAGAUCCAAGUUUUUGUGAUGGGUGAAAGUGACAGGGAAGUGGCAGGGACAUCUGCAGAGCUAGGUCUGUCCCUGUCUGCAGCAGA